UCCCUCCGGAUUCCUUACCCGUCGGACCUACCCACUGAUCGCAGUGGUUAGAAAAGGAGGAAGAGUAAAAUGGAAACUGGCUUUCAUGCUUUUGUGACCCACAGGCUAGUUUUAAACAAAC
ensembl:snoRNA